CCGUGUUUGAUGGGCGGACGAUUAGCGAACGAACCGUCGCCCCUCUACCACCGCAGCCCUCGCACGCUCACGCCGCCAACGACCUCCCGCUACCGCAGCCCUCCCAGUCUCCCGCCUCCCCGCUGAAAAUCUGCACUCCCACCACGCGAGCGGUGCCCUUCAUGGUGGCCCGAUCGACCGCCGACGGCCGGACGAGUCGGCGAUCUUCCAACACUCCAGAUUUGGGCGCUGGAUCUCCACGAUUGUGCUGGCCCUCUCCUCUACUCCCUCACGCGGACGUUCCUCUGUUUUCCAGAUCGGUGUAGCCUGUGGCCUGUAGGUCAAGUACGAGAAUGGCAACCCCUGGAUUUGAUGGAUCCUGAGCUAUCCAAAUUCAAUAGUGAGGAGGUGCUCCAGGUGAUCCGCCUCACACUAAUCUGCACCUAGGGAUCCUUACACAGACGGCCCUCCAGAGCUCGAUGUCGAGUGUGAUCUCAGUGCUCAUGGGAGAUGCCAACAUGGUUACGGAGGAGGUCAUCAAGCCGCACAGAGUGGCAGGUGAAGGCCAGAAGCAGCCAGGUCGGUUCGUCGAUACAUCAUUCUUCCAGCCAGAGGCGGAGCUAGCUAUAUGGCAAGGUUUGGUGGCCGCCAUACCUCAAUUUUUGCACCAAUACUAGGUAUAUAUGUGCAGAUAUGAGAUAUCAUUCAGAUUUGUCUUCUGUUGACUACUUAACAUCGACAAGAGCUGUUGUUUGAGAGCCAGGGAAGGGAAUUGAACCGGUAAGUAAUUAGCCGUA